AACAUUACUGGGGGCGGGGGGUGGGGUGGUGAGGCCUGGAACUCCCUGUAGCCACGUGCUCCUUUGUGCCUGAGGCCAGGCCCCUCAAGCUGCAUGUGGCUCUUUGGCAGUUCCAGCCAGGUGCUGGCAAGAUUAAUUUUUCAUCCCUUAAAGUUGAGAACUCAGAUUUUAUGUGACACCCACAGAUUUUUAAGCCUUGACGAUUAAUUCAAGUAUUUAAAAACAAAUACUGCAGAUCUGUUGUCAGUGUCUGGGAGCUGUCCUGGUCUGAGAGCUGUCCUGGUCUGCGACCCACGAGUUAGCUCACAGACUUGUUCUAGAGCCCAGCAUAUCAUCUUGUGCUCAGUGGUGGGCACCCCAGCAGUUGCUCAGUGGGAAGCUAGCCCCACAGGAAGUCCGAUUUUUCUGAGGUGACCGUCUUGGAAUGACCCGGUGUACAUCCUCCCCUUGGCAGUCCCAGCUGAGUGUAGCCUCCCAGGCAUCUGUCAUGGUACCAGAUCUGUGAACGAAGCUGACUCUCCAGACUAGCCCAUCUGCCUGUGGACAACCCCCAAGUGUACUUGCUUUAUGCCAUAAAGAACCUAAGAAUUAUGCCGCUGAGCCUUGUGUGAAUUCCUGACCCACGAAAUUGAGAGACAUAAUAAAAUGGUUGUCGUAUUAAGCUACUAA